CUGCAUGGCUGUCGUCAGCUCGUGUCGUGAGAUGUUGGGUUAAGGUCCCGUAACGAGCGCAACCCUUGUCCUUAGUUACCAGCACGUUAUGGUGGGCACUCUAAGGAGACUGCCGGUGACAAACCGGAGGAAGGUGGGGAGUGACGUCAAGUCAUCAUGGCCCUUACGGCCUGGGCUACACACGUGCUACAAUGGUCGGUACAAAGGGUUGCCAAGCCGCGAGGUGGAGCUAAUCCCAUAAAACCGAUCGUAGUCCGGAUCGCAGUCUGCAACUCGACUGCGUGAAGUCGGAAUCGCUAGUAAUCGUGAAUCAGAAUGUCACGGUGAAUACGUUCCCGGGCCUU
rnacentral:rRNA from 1 species